AACGAACGCUGGCGGCAUGCCUAACACAUGCAAGUCGAACGAGAUCUUCGGGUCUAGUGGCGCACGGGUGCGUAACGCGUGGGAAUCUGCCCUUUGGUUCGGAAUAACAGUUGGAAACGACUGCUAAUACCGGAUGAUGACGAAAGUCCAAAGAUUUAUCGCCAGAGGAUGAGCCCGCGUAGGAUUGGCUAGUUGGUGUGGUAAAGGCGCACCAAGGCGACGAUCCUUAGCUGGUCUGAGAGGAUGAUCAGCCACACUGGGACUGAGACACGGCCCAGACUCCUACGGGAGGCAGCAGUGGGGAAUAUUGGACAAUGGGCGAAAGCCUGAUCCAGCAAUGCCGCGUGAGUGAUGAAGGCCUUAGGGUUGUAAAGCUCUUCUACCCGGGAUGAUAAUGACAGUACCGGGAGAAUAAGCUCCGGCUAACUCCGUGCCAGCCGCCGCGGUAA
rnacentral:rRNA from 1 species